AAUGAACGUUGGCGGCGUGGAUUAGGCAUGCAAGUCGUGCGAGAAUCUCCCUUCGGGGAGAGGACAGCGGCGAAAGGGAGAGUAACGCGUGGUUACAUACCCUCGGGACCGGGAUAGUAGCGGGAAACUGCUAGUAAUACCGGAUAAUAUCUUUGGAUCAAAGGUGUGAUUCCGCCCGAGGAUUGGACCGCGUUCUAUUAGCUUGUUGGCGGGGUAAUGGCCCACCAAGGCGACGAUGGAUACCGGGUGUGAGAGCAUGGCCCGGCUCACUGGGACUGAGACACUGCCCAGACACCUACGGGUGGCUGCAGUCGAGAAUCUUCGGCAAUGGGGGCAACCCCUACCGAGCGACGCCGCGUGCGGGAUGAAGGCCUUCGGGUUGUAAACCGCUGUCAGUUGGGAGGAAGUGCCAGGGGGUUCUCCCCUUGGUUUGACCGAUCUUCAGAGGAAGGACGGGCUAAGUUCGUGCCAGCCGCCGCAGUAAUAC
rnacentral:rRNA from 1 species